AGUGAACGCUGGCGGCAUGGUUAAGACAUGCAAGUCGAACGAAAAGCAUAACUUCGGUUAUGUGGAAAGUGGCGAACGGGUGCGUAACACGUGAGCAACCUGCCCUUGAGUAUGGAAUAGCCCGCCGAAAGGCGGAUUAAUGCCGUAUGUGGCCUUUCAUCGCAUGGUGAAAUGGCUAAAGCUUGUAAUGGCGCUCAAGGAUGGGCUCGCGGCCUAUCAGCUUGUUGGUGAGGUAAUGGCUCACCAAGGCUAAGACGGGUAGCUGGUCUGAGAGGAUGAUCAGCCACACCGGGACUGAGACACGGCCCGGACACCUACGGGUGGCAGCAGUUUCGAAUCAUUCACAAUGGGCGAAAGCCUGAUGGUGCAAUGCCGCGUGGAGGAUGACGGCCUUAGGGUUGUAAACUCCUGUCAUUGGGGAGCAAUAAGCAGGUUUAUAGCCUGCCCUGAGUUAACCCAAAGGGGAAGAGGUGGCUAACUCCGUG
rnacentral:rRNA from 1 species